CUGAGGGGCUUCGGCCCUUUCAAGAUACCACCCUUGCAUUUUGAGCACCUUCUGUUUCCUCGGCGGGCUCGCGCCCGUCAAUGGGGACCACACCAAAACCUUCUGUAGUUGCAGUAAAUGUCUAAAACAAAAUAAAUCA
rnacentral:misc_RNA from 1 species